rnacentral:rRNA from 1 species
GACGAACGCUGGCGGCGUGCUUAACACAUGCAAGUCGAGCGGUAAGGCCCUUUCGGGGGUACACGAGCGGCGAACGGGUGAGUAACACGUGGGUGACCUGCCCUCAGCUCUGGGAUAAGCCUGGGAAACCGGGUCUAAUACUGGAUAUGACUCCAUGACGCAUGUUGUGGGGUGGAAAGCCUUGUGCGGCUGAGGAGUCGGGCCCGCGG